CUACGGGUGGCAGCAGUGAGGAAUUUUGCGCAAUGGGGGCAACCCUGACGCAGCAACGCCGCGUGAGUGAAGAAGGCCUUUGGGUCGUAAAGCUCUGUCGACAGGGAAGAAGUUAUUGUUGUUUAACAGAUGACAGUAUUGACGGUACCUGUAGAGGAAGCACCGGCUAACUCCGUGCCAGCAGCCGCGGUAAUACGGGGGGUGCAAGCGUUAUUCGGAAUUAUUGGGCGUAAAGGGCGCGUAGGCGGUCUUGUCGGUCAGAUGUGAAAGCCCAGGGCUCAACCCUGGACGUGCAUUUGAAACAGCAAGACUUGAGUACGGGAGAGGAAAGCGGAAUUCCUGGUGUAGAGGUGAUAUUCGUAGAUAUCAGGAGGAACACCGAUGGCGAAGGCAGCUUUCUGGACCGAUACUGACGCUGAGGCGCGAAGGUGUGGGUAGCGAACGGGAUUAGAUACCCCAGUAGUC
rnacentral:rRNA from 1 species